AAUGGGAAAUUUAAGGGCGUAUGGUGGAUGCCUUGGCACAAGAUGGCGAUGAAGGACGUAGCGUGACUGCGAUAAGUCUCGGGGAGGUGUCUAGCAACCUUUGAUCCGGGAAUGUCCGAAUGGGGAAACCUCAUUGCGUAAAGCGCAAUGAUCCUAAGCGUAAGCGAAGGAUGCAUACCUAGGGAAUUGAAACAUCUUAUUACCUAGAGGAAAAGAAACCAAUAACGAGCCUUUAACUUAUAGCGGUAAAUUAUUGCUAUAAGUUAAAGGCUCUGGAAUUUCCUUAGUAGCGGCGAGCGAAAAGGAAAGAGCUCAUGGAAAGCUAUAGCGCAGAGGGUGAUACUCCCGUAAGUGAAAAUAUUUCUCUCUUUUUUAUUUCUGUACCUGAGUACCUCAAGACACGAAUGGCUUGAGGGAAUCUGCCGGAACUAACCGGUAAAGCUAAAUACAUCUUGUGACCGAUAGUGAACUAGUACCGUGAGGGAAAGGUGAAAAGCAGCCCGAUAAGGGCAGUGAAAUAGACCUGAAACCAUAUGCUUACAAGGAGUCAGAGCGGGUGCAUCACACUGUGUGUGAUGUUCUAGUUGUUAGCUGCUAGUUGUUAGCUGUUAGCUUUGAAUUUCGAAUUCAAAAGCUGAAAGCUAGUAGCUAGAAGCUGAAAGCUGAGCAUUGCGCUUGGCGCGAUGCAUCCGUCAUGGCGUGCCUAUUGAAGAAUGAGCCAACGAGUUUAUGUGUGUUGCUUGGUUAAGUCAAAUAAAAUGACUGAGCCGUAGGGAAACCAAGUGUUAAUAGCGCGUAAUUGGUAUCACACAUAAGACCCGAAACCGGGUGAGCUUACCAUGAGCAGGAUGAACCCUCGCGAAAGCGAGGGGGAGGUCCGAACUGAUUAGUCGUACAACGCUAUCGGAUGACUUGUGGUAAGGAGUGAAAAGCUAAUCGAACUCGGUAAUAGCUGGUUCUCUCCGAAAUAGCUUUUGGGCUAGCGUUAAGUGUUUCUUCCGGGGGUAGAGCACUGGAAGAGUUGAAUAGGGAGAAAUCUCGUCAACUCUAUCAAACUCCGAAUACCGGAAGUAAUAGCUUGGCAGUUAGACCGUGGGGGCGAAGCUCCACUGGUCAAAAAGGGAAGAGCCUAGAUCUCAAGUUAAGGUCCCUAAAUCUAUGCUAAGUGCAUCUUAAGGAGGUGAAGUCUCAUAUACAAUGAGGAUGUUGGCUUAGAAGCAGCCAUCAUUUAAAGAAAGCGUAACAGCUCACUCAUCUAGAGAUUUUGCGCCGCAGAUAAUCGGGGCUAAGCAUAGUACCGAAGCUGAGGGCUUUAUUUUGCUUCGGCAAAAUGGAGCGGUAGGAGAGUGUUCGCAUCUGCACUGAAGCCAAAGGGGUGACCCAUGGUGGAGCGAUGCGAAGUAAGAAUGUUGGCACAAGUAACCGCAAGCAGGGUGAAAGCCCCUGCCGCCGAAAGACUAAGGUUUCCUUGGUAAUGGCAAUCAUCCAAGGGUUAGUCGGUCCUAAGGUAAUGGCGAAAGCCGAAGCCGAUGGAUACACGGUUAAUAUUCCGUGACUCCUGUAUUUUUCGAUGGAGGGACGGAGGACACAAGCAAGAGCGUAUUAUUGGAUUUAUGUCGCUUUUUCAAGAAGAGUUUUCUAGGAAAAUCCGGAAAACUGGCUUUAAGGCCGAGCUUCAGAGAGUGCGAAAUUUUCCGCUUCGGCGGAGAAAAUUCUUGCGAAGAGCCUCCCGAGAAAAACUUCUAAGAUUAUGAAUA
rfam:Parcubacteria (Nomurabacteria) bacterium GW2011_GWB1_37_5 TS50_C0030, whole genome shotgun sequence.